rnacentral:pre_miRNA from 11 species
AAAGAAGGGCCGCCGCUGUGAGUGUUUCUUUGGCAGUGUCUUAGCUGGUUGUUGUGCGCAGUGAUUGAGGAAGCAAUCAGCAAGAAUACUGCCCCAGAAGUGCUGCACGCAACCUUCGGAUCCGGA